rnacentral:rRNA from 1 species
UACGGAGGGUGCGAGCGUUGUCCGGAAUCACUGGGCGUAAAGGGCGCGUAGGCGGCGCGAGCAGUCGGCGGUGAAAGCCCGGAGCUCAACUCCGGGUCGGCCGUCGAUACUCUCGUGCUUGAGCACUGUAGAGGCAGGUGGAAUUCCGGGUGUAGCGGUGGAAUGCGUAGAUAUCUGGAGGAACACCGGUGGCGAAGGCGACAUCCUGGACCAACACUGACGCUGAGUGAGCGAAAGCCAGGGGAGCAAACGGG